ACGCUCGACACCAGGAGGCAGCAGUGGGGAAUAUUGCACAAUGGGGGAAACCCUGAUGCAGCGACGCCGCGUGAGUGAAGAAGUAUUUCGGUAUGUAAAGCUCUAUCAGCAGGGAAGAAGAUGACGGUACCUGAGUAAGAAGCCCCGGCUAACUACGUGCCANCAGCCGCGGUAAUCUGAGCGGGCUGGCAAGGC
rnacentral:rRNA from 1 species